UUGGGAACCCUGAUUCUGGCCUGCAGGAGAACGUCCUUGGAUCUGUGCUCUCGAUCAGUGGGAAUGCCGCCGAAAUGGAGAAGCUGCCUCUGACCCCAGCUAAAAAGAGGCUUUGUGCCCUGGAUGCCUUCAGAGGGUUGUCUCUAGUGUUGAUGGUGUUUGUGAACUACGGUGGAGGGAAAUCCUGGUUCUUCCACCAUUCCCCAUGGAACGGCCUGACAGUAGCAGAUCUUGUGAUUCCAUGGUCGAUCUGGUCGGCCGGAGAAAGGGCCGGGCAACCCUCGGGGACCGGAGCGAGGAGGCCGGCAGGAAGAGCUGACGAGUCCAAGGACGUCGAAGGUCUGACCCAGGGCAAGGACGCCGUCCAGGUCGACGGGUCAAGCGGAGAGGCGCCCCGUGGCGACCGACGCCGCUCGCGGCGGCCUUCGGCGGUGGGCGCGACCCCGACACCAGUUACUCUCUGCGCUCUACGGAGGAUUUUACUUUUUUUACAAAGAUACCCGCUGCGCCGUUAAGCAUUAUGCAAAGGGGUGCAUAAAGAAAAAACGCAUUCAAAGAACAUUUUAAAAGUACUAGCAACAAUAAAAAAAGUGCAAC